GUGCGCAGGUGGCUGUCUCGGAGGUUUGUGUAGGGGGAUUGGCGGUUUCUGGAUCCUUCCUCCAUGAUUUUCAGCACAGGGGAGCUCUCCUUUCUGCAGUGUGGAGGAGCGCUGGGCAGGAGGCGGCGCUGAGGCUCCACAUACUGGGCUCAAAACGUCUGGUCCAGUGGUUAAAAGCUGUUCACAGGGGUGACUGGACCCCACUAAGCAUUCUUUCGUCUGUACUGAAUAUUUCACCAAAAACAGCUCUAGGAAAGGCUGGAGGAUCAGUACUAUGUGCUCAAGCCAUGGCCACGCCCUCCAUCUUCCACCUGACUGAGACGGGGGGCUGAAGUCCGUGGCUGCCCCAGGAGAAAGGACACCAGGAAGGCCACCGGGGACCUAAGGAACAUGCGAGUGAAGCAGAUGGGAAAGGAGCUGCAGGUUCAUCAUUGUCCUUGAGGGAAAACCUGAGGGCCUAGCAGGGCUCCCUCAAGUUGAAGCGAGCCACUGUGCAGGGUGAACCUGCACCCAGGGCUACCCAGGAAGCCGCCAGUCAGGAGCAGGUGCAGAGUCUCUGGAAGGAACUCCAGGAUACAGUGUGGCCUCCACAGCAUCAGGCAGCCAGGGAGAUGCAAACAUGUCUGCUAUGGAUGCUGACAAUGAGACCCCCCUCCUCCCUGCCAGGGUCUCUUAGAGCACACUCGAGAAA